rnacentral:rRNA from 1 species
UACGAAGGGGACUAGCGUUGUUCGGAAUUACUGGGCGUAAAGCGCGCGUAGGCGGACAUUUAAGUCAGGGGUGAAAUGCCAGGGCUCAACCUUGGAAUUGCCUUUGAUACUGGAUGUCUGGAGUUCGGGAGAGGUGAGUGGAAUUCCGAGUGUAGAGGUGAAAUUCGUAGAUAUUCGGAGGAACACCAAAAGCGAAGGCAGCAGACUGGAGCACUCCUGACACUGAAACAAGAAAGCGUGGGUAGCGAAUGGG